GUGCCAGCCGCCGCGGUAAUACGAACCGUCCAAACGUUAUUCGGAAUCACUGGGCUUAAAGGGUGCGUAGGCGGCUCGAAAAGUUGGGUGUGAAAGCCCUCGGCUCAACCGAGGAAUUGCGCCCAAAACUGCCGGGCUCGAGGGAGACAGAGGUGAGCGGAACUUAGGGUGGAGCGGUGAAAUGCGUUGAUAUCCUAAGGAACACCAGUAGCGUAAGCGGCUCACUGGGUCUCUUCUGACGCUGAGGCACGAAAGCUAGGGGAGCGAAGAGGAUUAGAAACCCUCGUAGUCC
rnacentral:rRNA from 1 species